rnacentral:sRNA from 1 species
UUUUUUUUGUCUUUUCUUUCUCACCAAGAGAUCAUUUGUUGUGAAGAGAUUUGCGAAGAAGAGAGGUGUAGUUACCAAACUGGAUGUCAGAAGGCGGAUGGAGAUUAAAGAC